UGGGGAAUAUUGGACAAUGGGCGCAAGCCUGAUCCAGCCAUGCCGCGUGAGUGAUGAAGGCCCUAGGGUUGUAAAGCUCUUUCAGCGAGGAGGAUAAUGACGUUACUCGCAGAAGAAGCCCCGGCUAACUUCGUGCCAGCAGCCGCGGUAAUACGAAGGGGGCUAGCGUUGUUCGGAGUCACUGGGCGUAAAGCGCACGUAGGCGGACUUUUAAGUCAGGGGUGAAAUCCCGGGGCUCAACCUCGGAACUGCCUUUGAUACUGGAAGUCUGGAGUCCGAGAGAGGUGAGUGGAACUCCGAGUGUAGAGGUGAAAUUCGUAGAUAUUCGGAAGAACACCAGUGGCGAAGGCGGCUCACUGGCUCGGUACUGACGCUGAGGUGCGAAAGCGUGGGGAGCAAACAGAUUAGAUACCCUGGUAGUCCACGCCGUAAACGAUGGAAGCUAGCCGUCAGGGUGCAUGCAUCUUGGUGGCGCAGUUAACGCAUUAAGCUUCCCGCCUGGGGAGUACGGUCGCAAGAUUAAAACUUAAAUGAAUUGACGGGGUCAUAGCUGUUUCCU
rnacentral:rRNA from 1 species